GUAGACAUAGUUUAAUAAAAAUUUUAGUUUGUGGUUCUAAAGACAGGGGUUAAAGCCCCCUUGUCCACC
rnacentral:tRNA from 1 species